rnacentral:misc_RNA from 1 species
UACGUAGGUGGCAAGCGUUGUCCGGAAUUAUUGGGCGUAAAGCGCGCGCAGGCGGCCUCUUAAGUCUGAUGUGAAAUCUCGGGGCUCAACCCCGAGAAGUCAUUGGAAACUGGGAGACUUGAGUACAGAAGAGGAGAGUGGAAUUCCACGUGUAGCGGUGAAAUGCGUAGAUAUGUGGAGGAACACCAGUGGCGAAGGCGACUCUCUGGUCUGUCGCUGACGCUGAGGUGCGAAAGCGUGGGUAGCAAACAGG